GACAAAUCUCAACUGUCGGAUUUUCAGUUCAGGGUGUGGAUCAAUCGUUUUUGGGCAUCUGUCCCUCCAUGUUUUUGCCUUGCCUUCCUCGCCUUCGACCACCCCAACAUGACAGAUCCAUAAACAUCAGUAGCAACAAAGAAAAUACUGCAGUUACUCCAGCUUCCGUCUACAUUCCAAAAACAUGCAUGGCAGGUUCAUUGAAGACUCA